AUGUUCCCCCAGCAAACAAAAUGUGAGUCGUGAGGCAUUCGUUAGGGACUAGUGAGUGACUGAAAAUAAAAAAAAUAAAAAAACAAACGUUUGAUUGAAGCGUUUGAACCGUGUUGAUCUUAUUAUUAUUUUUUCACCGAUGCGCCAGACGUUAGUCUUUGCGAGAAAAAAAAACAUGUCGUCGGCGAAAUCGGUGUCUGGUUGCAAUUUCGUUCUCUUUGUGCAAAAUAUUAAAUAAAACGUCGCGAAUUGUGUCGGAAAAGUAAAACGCGAGUGGUUCAUAGGCUUGUACAUUGAAUUUUGUGCUUGUCAAUGCGUGCCGGUAACGAAAAUAUGAUCGGAAUACUUGGGUUCGCGGUUGCAAAGGACGGGCGAUCGUCGUAAUGUAAAUAAUGGAAAUCAGUUAGGUGCAUGGUGCUGAUGAUGACAAUGGUGCUGUCUAUUUGGGCAAGACGGUACCCAUUAUCCAACGCCGUUGUAAUAGUCAUUGAUAAGAAGAUCGCGAGAAAGUGUUACUGUUUAGAUAUUACCCUGUUGAGGAGUGUUAUUGUUUGUAAAAUUGUGAUAGUGCGUACUCCGGGGAAAGAACGGGGUCAGAUUGCAAAUAUCCCGUGAUUCUGAAAUGAAUGCUUGCGCCCAACGAAUUGUGUAUUUGGUGUGACCGGAAAAUAAAGAUCAACCAGACGAAGAAAGAUCUGGCCAAGCAGGAUAGAAGAAAGUCUGAUCGACUGCCAAAUAAGUGAAAAUGGAAGAUCGAAGUAAAAUGUGUUUAAUUAGAGGGAAUGUUUGAGAGUUGACCACUCAAUCAAGAGCAAUUUCAUUCUAUACCACUUACCAUGUACCGUCCCAAGCUGCUUAACCUUGGAGCAUCCUUAAACGAUUUACCAAAGGACAAAUUCGAAUGACACUUCAAUGCCCAGCAUUUCGGAGUACUUUUGGCAUUGCACCCGGAAUGCGUGUUUCCCGCAAGGACAAGGCUACCGCUGCAAACAAUACUAAGUAAAAAACCAGCAACUGGUGUGUGACACAGACGCAUGAAUUAGCAGCUGUACGAGGUGUUCAAAGAAUAAAAUAUUGUGAAUAAAAUUAAAUACCCCAGACUUCAGUGGGCUGCUCACUUAGUGCGAAUGUUGGAAGAAUGAAUAGCGAAUAUUUAACAGAGAACCGGAUAGACGCCGGCGAUUUCGUGGAAGACCAUGGACACGCUGGCUGCAUGAGAUGGAAUCGGACCUGGGACUGGAGGAAGAUCGCCCAAGACAGUCGAUGGUGGAGCUCUACAAUACGCUAGGCAUAAGUGUAUCGACGGUGUAGCCAACCAGGUGUUUAGAUCAUUACAUAUGAAUCUUUACAGAUCAUAUAUAAACUUCAGGAGCGAUUUUCAACUAAUGGUCGACUUGAUAUUAUUAUGGUACUUCAAAAUACUUCUGCAAUUGUUGAUUUCAACUAUGUCGAAUGAACACGGUAAGGGCGUCGUUGAAGUCUUUGGCCCGAUGUCAUUAUCUUACAAACAGAUCAGUAGAAAUCAUUUCCAACCAAAUGGACAAAUGCAUUUAAUAUUACUGUUAACGAAGCAAAAAUGCAGAUACAUGUAUUUUAUAUUUUAAAUGGAAGUCAAAGAUUGAAUUUCAAAAAAAGAAGAAAAAUGAGCAAGUGUAGUUACACGAACACAGUUAUUUUC